rnacentral:rRNA from 1 species
CAAAGGGAUUACCGGUGGCGGAUGGGCAUGCGGCGCAUUAGCUAGUCGGCGGGGUAACGGCCCACCGAGGCGACGAUGCGUAGGGGUUCUGAGAGGAAGGUCCCCCACACUGGUACUGAGACACCGACCAGACUCCUACGGGAGGCAGCAGUGAGGAAUAUUGGUCAAUGGGCGCGAGCCUGAACCAGCCAAGUCGCGUGAGGGAUGACGGUCCUACGGAUUGUAAACCUCUUUUGCCGGGGAGCAAGCGUGCGUUCGUGAACGCGCGUCGAGAGUACCCGGAGAAAAAGCAUCGGCUAACUCCGUGCCAGCAGCCGCGGUAAUACGGAGGAUGCGAGCGUUAUCCGGAUUUAUUGGGUUUAAAGGGUGCGUAGGCGGGAUGCCAAGUCAGCGGUAAAAAUGCGGUGCUCAACGCCGUCGAGCCGUUGAAACUGGCGUUCUUGAGUGGGCGAGAAGUAUGCGGAAUGCGUGGUGUAGCGGUGAAAUGCAUAGAUAUCACGCAGAACUCCGAUUGCGAAGGCAGCAUACCGGCGCCCUACUGACGCUGAGGCACGAAAGCGUGGGUAUCGAACAGGAUUAGAUACCCUGGUAGUCCACGCAGUAAACGAUGAAUGCUAACUGUCCGGCUCGAAUGAGCGCUGGGCGGU